GCAACAAAGUGCAGCCAAACUGCAAAUGCAAGGAUGAAAGAAGAUAAAUUAUAUAAUAGCAAAAAGGUGCAUCAGAUUUUGAAGAAUUUAAGUCAUUAAGCAACAAUCUGAACCAUAUAAAUGUAUAAACAGAUCCUUUAACUCAUCUUGAUUUUAUCUUUUCCCAUAUACUUAGUCAUUUCUGGGUUUCAGUGCAGGCCUAAACCCAAUUUUCUACUCUUUUCUCCCAACAGGUUG
rnacentral:misc_RNA from 1 species